GCCAGAGUGGUGUAGUGGUUUGAGCAUUGGACUAAGACUCUGGAGAGCAGGGUUCGAAUCCCCACUCAGCCA
rnacentral:tRNA from 1 species